CUCAUUUUGUUAGUGGUCGAUCUGAGAACAAUGAGACGGGUGCGGGCGUGCACGUGAAGAGGCCAUUUUACAUUUUCAGUCUUUGAACGAAAACAACGACUCCCGGACGGAAUAUUAUCGCUAUUUUACGAGAAAAACCGCAUAAAAAUUGAUUUUAAACAGCGUUUGACAUGCUUCGAAGUACGGUAAUGGAAUAUUUUGAAUUUUUGUCAUGAAACGCGCCGGCGCGUUACCCUUCGGAUAGUGUCUUGAACGCACUAACAAAACACCGCUAUUUGGAUAUAACUAUGGAUUAUUUGGAACCAAACCAACAUUUGUUGUUGAAGUAGAAGUCCUGGGAGUGCAUUCUGACGAAGAACAGCAAAGGACACAACACACCUUCAGGCUGUGUUAAAGCUAUUUCACCAAGAAGGAGAGUGAAGCAGUGCUGCAUCAGAUGACUUGGCCUCCACAAUCACCUGACCUCAACCUAAUUCAGAUUGUUUGGUUUGAGUUGGACCGCAGAGUGAAGGAAAAGCAGCCAACAAGCGCUCAGCAUAUGUGGGAACUCCUUCAAGAUUGUUGGAAAAUCAUUCCAGGUGAAGCUGGUUGAGAGAAUGCCAAGAGUGUG
rnacentral:lncRNA from 1 species